CAACCCUCAAGCUCUGCUUGGUGUUGGGCCCUGCCCCCGCGGCCGGCCCUAAAGUCAGUGGCGGCGCCGUCUGGCUCUAAGCGUAGUACAUCUCUCGCUCUAGGGUCCUGCGGUGGCUUGCCAGAACCCCAACUCCUAU
rnacentral:misc_RNA from 1 species